rnacentral:rRNA from 1 species
GAGGAAUAUUGGACAAUGGGCGAGAGCCUGAUCCAGCCAUGCCGCGUGCAGGAAGACGGCCCUAUGGGUUGUAAACUGCUUUUGUACGGGAAGAAACACCCCCUCGUGAGGGGGCUUGACGGUACCGUAAGAAUAAGGAUCGGCUAACUCCGUGCCCGCAGCCGCGGUAAUACGGAGGAUCCAAGCGUUAUCCGGAAUCAUUGGGUUUAAAGGGUCCGUAGGUGGGCCGUUAAGUCAGAGGUGAAAUCCUGCAGCUCAACUGUAGAAUUGCCUUUGAUACUGGCGGUCUUGAAUCAUUGUGAAGUGGUUGGAAUAUGUAGUGUAGCGGUGAAAUGCAUAGAUAUUACAUAGAACACCGAUUGCGAAGGCAGAUCACUAACAAUGCAUUGACACUGAUGGACGAAAGCGUGGGGAGCGA